rnacentral:rRNA from 1 species
UACGUAGGGCGCAAGCGUUUAUCCGGAAUUAUUGGGCGUAAAGAGCUCGUAGGCGGUUUGUCGCGUCUGCCGUGAAAGUCCGGGGGCUCAACUCCGGAUCUGCGGUGGGUACGGGGCAGACUAGAGUGAUGUAGGGGGAGACUGGAAUUCCUGGUGUAGCGGUGAAAUGCGCAGAUAUCAGGAGGAACACCGAUGGCGAAGGCAGGUCUCUGGGCAUUAACUGACGCUGAGGAGCGAAAAGCAUGGGGAGCGAACAGG